CCUACGGGAGGCAGCAGUGAGGAAUAUUGGUCACUGGGCGGCAGCCUGAACCAGCCAAGUAGCGUGCGGGAUGAAGGCCCUACGGGUCGUAAACCGCUUUUGCACGGGGAUAACACCCUCCACUUGUGGAGGUCUGCAGGUACCGUGCGAAUAAGGGCAGGCUAAUUCCGUGCCAGCAGCCGCGGUAAUACGGAAGGUCCGAGCGUUAUCCGGAUUCAUUGGGCUUACAGGGAGCGUAGGCGGACGGUCAAGUCAGCUGUAAAAUCGAGAGGCUCAACCGCGCCCCGCAGUUGAGACUGGACGCCUUGAGGUCACAACAGGCAGGCGGAAUUCGUGGUGUAGCGGGGAAAUGCAUAGAUAGCACGAGGAACCCCGAUUGCGAAGGCAGCCUGCCGGGGUGCGACUGACGCUGAGGCUCGAAGGUGCGGGUAUCAAACAGGAUUAGAUACCCCUGUAGUC
rnacentral:rRNA from 1 species